rnacentral:pre_miRNA from 1 species
UCGGUUGCAGGCGUAGCAUCAUCAAGAUUCACAAGUGAAAAUGGACGGCGAUGAUUGGAUCGCCCUUUGCCGAAAGUCCAUCUGAGAUUGAGAAUCUUGAUGAUGCUGCAUCGGCAAUAAA